rnacentral:lncRNA from 1 species
UUUAAUUUCACCCUCGUGUCAUUCCAAACCUGCAGUACUUUCUUGUUUUGUGUUAUGUGCUCUUCAGGACAAAGAUGGCAACAGUGAAAGUGAGAAGUUACAGAGACUCUAUCUGCAGAAGCAACAACAACAUGGAAGUUCAAGGCAUCAGCUGGCCACACUUCUGAAAGAGCUGGAGCUUCUUGAAACACCACUGGCAGCGCAAGGACAGCACAAGGCCAAGCAUCAGACGCAGGAAGCCCACAGAGCGGCCAUCAGCUGGUGGAGAGGUCAGACUAAAGAGGGCAAGAAGAACCAGGCUUCCCAAGUUCCACAAGAAACUGUGACGGACAUUCAAAGCCUGGACGUCAAUCACACCAGGCCAGCCCAGCUGGAAGAGGCUAAGUGUGGCAUGAAGGUGCUUCUCAAAGACCAGGGAACAAGCACCUGUGACGACGCUCAGAUUCAGUUCAGGGAUGUGGCUGUGGUCACUGAUUCAUCGGCAGAGCGUUUGGCUGCAGAAGAGCUGCUGAAGUCUCUGAGGAAAGUGGAGGACGUGGUUUCGCAGGCCUUGCGGGCAGCUCAGGUGCUCACGGGCAGCGAGAAGAGGAUAAAGGAGAGGAUAGAGGCCAUCAGCAUGAGGGUGGAGAGAGCACUGAGCAGAGCUGAAGCUACUGAGAGUCAGCUCCGUGCCCUGGAGGCCACCAUCUCUUCUAACACACAGGUAAGGACCGGUUUUAGGAAAAUAGCAUUAAUUAUCAAAUUCUCUUAUGCAGCUAUAAUAUAGUAUAAUUCAGAAUUAUUUUUUUUUUAAUUCAGAAUCUUUCUAUCAUUAUGAAUGACAUCACAUUUGAUCAGUUUAAUUCAUCCUUUCUGAAUAAAAGCAUUUUUCUUGAUCUUUCUUCCCCUGAAUUUUUAAAUAGUAGUGUAUCAUGGUUUCCACAAAAUAUUAAGCAUUAAAAAAAAUGUAAAUAAAAAAGUGACAGUAAAUGCAUUCAUUAUCUUACAAAAUAUUUAUUCAUUUUUAAAUAAAUGCUUUUCUUUUGAACUUUGUAUUUAUCCAAGAUUCCAGAAAAAAAAAAUGUAUCAGGAGUUGUGGCUGUUAAAAUUUCAGUUUUACAUGACAGGAAUAAUUAAGUUUUAUAAUAUUUCCAAAUAGAAAACAGUUGUUGUAAACUGUCCUAUAUUUCACAAUAUUAUGAUUUAACAAAUUUUUCAUCAAAUAAAUGCAGCCUUGUUGAGCAUAAAAGAUUAAGAAAAUCUUAUUUGUUCUGGAUAUUUGACUACUACUAUGUUCGUACAGUAUAUAUAACCUGAUAGCAUGAUGCUAUAAUUGAUCUAACAUGUUGUUUGUAUUGUUCUAGUCGUUCUGUAUGUCUCAAUCUAUGGCCAGUGGGCUCCUGGUGGAUUGUAGCUUUUCCACACCCGAACCUGUCGCUCAGGAGAGCAUCCUCACUCCACUUUCAUCUGAAAAUGGUAUGAUUUACUUCAAAAGUUACUAAGACAUUUCAGACGACUCUGAAGUUCAUUUGUAUGAUGGCAACUUUUGGUAACAUUUUAU